UACGUAGGGGGCAAGCGUUGUUCGGAAUUACUGGGCGUAAAGGGCGCGUAGGCGGCACGACAAGUCGGGAGUGAAAGCCCGGGGCCCAACCCCGGAAUUGCAUCUGAAACUGCCUGGCUAGAGUCCCGGAGAGGAAGGCAGAAUUCCCGGUGUAGGGGUGAAAUCCGUAGAUAUCGGGAGGAAUACCAGCGGCGAAGGCGGCCUUCUGGACGGUGACUGACGCUGAGACGCGAAAGCGUGGGGAGCAAACAGG
rnacentral:rRNA from 1 species